UGAUUAAUGGACUCAAGGAGGUACCCAAGAUCAUCUAAAUAGAUGAAAAUAGAUUGUGAAAAAGAAAGAAAAAGGGAUUGGGCAGGGGAUGGAUAUGGCUGAAAAGGAGGUUUUUUUUUUCUGCAUAAAAUCACCAAACAUUACCAAAUUCUUCAAUAUUUACAUUAACAAUUCAGAUCAUUCAUAAUCAAAAUCUAAGAUUCAUCAAUCGGAUUCUCUUCCGGUUCAUCAAAAUUAGGGUCAUUUGCAUCAACAACAACAACAUCAGCUUCUUCUUUCUUAGAAGAAUAACUUCCGUCGCCGGCCCAAGUAAACUUUCCACCAUGGCCGCCUUUCUUCAGAGAUCCACUUAUUUCGGGGGCAUCUUGGCUUGAUUUGGGGAUAAUUUUGGAACUUUUUGAUGUAUUCUUCAUAGUGACUUUUUUUCAGUG
rnacentral:lncRNA from 1 species